rnacentral:tRNA from 3 species
GGGCGCUUAGCUCAGCUGGCUAGAGCAUCUCGUUUACACCGAGAGGGUCGGGGGUUCGAGUCCCUCAGCGCCCACCA